ACGGCCAUACCACAUUGAAAACACCGGUUCUCGUCCGAUCACCGAAGUUAAGCAAUGUCGGGCCGGUUAGUACUAUGGGAGGGUGACCACCUGGAACACCGGGUGCUGUAGGCU
rnacentral:rRNA from 1 species